AGGGAAAAUUAAGAAAGAUAAAAAAAAAAAAAAUUUGGUUCUACAAGAACCCAAUAAUUUUUGUCGUUUGGUUUGUUUGUAGCCAGAUUAUAUAAAAGAUUUGAUUUCUUUUACAUUUAAGAAACUUUAUAGCAACAAAAAAUCCACAGUGAAAACAUUGUUACCUCAUGUCCAGACCAGACCCUUGUCAAAGAUAUGCUUGCAAGAUACAAGAUUGUCUCCAAGCUAAUAAUUACAAAAUGGAAUCAUGCAAAGAUGUUAUAGAACAAUUGGUACAAUGUUGUAGAAAACUAAAAGAUCCUGCAUCUUCACCUCCUUGUUCUGGAUAUUUAAAACACUUGCAUAAAAAGCCUACUUGAUGCCAGUGUGGAAUCAUAGUGUUUAAAAUAUCUCAAUCUUAUACUAGUGGUCAUGUUAACUGUUGAGUAUGUGAAUUAUACAAACAAAUAUUUACAAAUUUAAUUUAUUCAAUAAACUUUUUACAGACA